AUUGAACGCUGGCGGCAGGCCUAACACAUGCAAGUCGAGCGGAUGAAGGGAGCUUGCUCCUGGAUUCAGCGGCGGACGGGUGUGUAAUGCCUAUGAAUCUGCCUGGUCGUGGGGGAUAACGUCCUGAAACGGGCGCUAAUACCACCUCCGUCCUGCUCGUGCAAGUGGGGGAUCUUUGGACCUCACCGUCUCAUAUGAGCGUAGGGCGGAUUAGCUAGUUGGUGGGGGAAAGGCCUACCAAGGCGACGAUCCGUAACUGGACUGAGAGGAUGAUCAGCCACACUGGAGCUGGGACACGGACCAGACUCCUACGGUAGGCAGCAGUGGGGAAUAUUGGACAAUGGGCGAAAGCCUGAUCCAGCCAUGCCGCGUGUGUGAAGAAGGUCUUCGGAUUGUAAAGCACUUUAAGUUGGGAUGAAGGGCAGUAGGUUAAUACCUUGCUGUUUUGACGGUACCAACAGAAUAAGCACCGGCUAACUUCGUG
rnacentral:rRNA from 1 species